CUUUGGGGCAGCUGGCCUACAGCAGUUCAGGAUUUGGAAGGUUUUUCCACUACCUCAGCUCUCUUUGAGAUCUAUCCCAUCGUGGUGGCUGCCGUAGCAUGGGGUCAUUUAUGGGCAAAUAUAUCAGUUCGUUGUUACUCAGACAACCAGGCAACCUGUCACAAAGGUUGCUCCAAAUCCCUUACGAUCAUGAGAUUUCUGAGGAAACACACGUGGUUGGCAGCU